CAUUAUAAGCACUCAAUAGGCUAACAAAUUAACUCCUUCUCAUCACGAAUUAAAAAGAGAAUAUGAUUAAAAUGUUCUCUUUUCUCAGCAGUAAAUUGUAUAAUUCUCCGGCGGAAACAAAACACAAAGCUCGAAACUUUACCAUUAUAUUGGUUUCCCUCCGUAGUCUACGGCAAAGGAGAAAAAAAGCAGGAGCAAUCCGACCAG